CAUGUUGGCCAGGAUGGUCUUGAGCUCCUGACCUUGUGAUCCACCUGCCUUGGCCUCCCAAAGUGUUGGGAUUACAGGUGUGAGUCACUGCACCUGACCUAGAAUUCCUUUUAAUGUUUAAAUUCUAAUCCUUAAAAUAUGACACAACUGAUUUAUGUUCCUCCUCUCCCAGUUAUCUUCAAAUAAUGGGAGUGGCCCUCAUUUUUAAAAACUUCUUUCUUUUGGGAGAGCAGUUGUUGAGAAAGAGAAGAAUCAUGUAACGAUGUAAAAAGCUUGUCUGUUUGGUACCCUAUUUGCUAAUGUCACAAGUGUUAAAUAGAAAUAAAGAAAAUUUCCACCAUAGUAGCUAUUUAUUGCUUACUGUGUGUCAAAACUACGUGCUACUCACGUUUUAUAAACCAUCCCCUUUAAAGCCUUGUAACUUUUCUAUGAAGCAAGUUGUUUGUGUCCCUACCUCCUCUGUUUUUACCAUUGGAAAACCAAGUCCUAGAGCAAGUAAUUACACAAGUUCCACAGCUACCAAGGCGCGGGUUAUUUCUGCCCUACAC